GAUAAACGCUGGCGGCGUGCCUAAAACAUGCAAGUCGAACGGGCACCUUCGGGUGUCAGUGGCGGACGGCUGAGUAACACGUGGGUGACCUGCCCCGGAGCGGGGGAUAACUGCCCGAAAGGGUGGCUAAUACCGCAGACAUCGGUGAUUCGUUUUGCCGAUUGAACCUUUUGGGUUCUGGGAGGGGCCCGCGGCCGAUUAGCUAGCUGGUGGGGUAACGGCCUACCAGGGCGACGAUCGGUAGCUGGUCUGAGAGGAUGAUCAGCCAGACUGGGACUGCGAACGGCCCAGACUCCUACGGGAGGCAGCAGUUAGGAAUUUUGGGCAAUGGGCGAAAGCCUGACCCAGCAACGCCGCGUGGGUGAUGAAGGCCCUCGGGUCGUAAAGCCCUUUUCCCAGGGACGAUAGUGACGGUACCUGGGGAAUCAGCCCCGGCUAACUGCGUGCCAGCAGCCGCGGUAAUACGUAGGGGGCAAGCGUUGUCCGGAUUUAUGGGGCGUAAGGCGCUCGCAGGUGGUUCGUUGCGUCGUGCGUGAAAGACCCCGGCUCAACUGGGGAGCGUCGUGCGAUACGGGCGGACUGGAGGCCAGUAGGGGGAUGCGGAAUCCCG
rnacentral:rRNA from 1 species